rnacentral:rRNA from 1 species
GUGAACGCUGGCGGUAGGCCUAACACAUGCAAGUCGAACGGCAGCACCGUAAGAGCUUGCUCUUACGGGUGGCGAGUGGCGGACGGGUGAGGAAUACAUCGGAAUCUACUUUUUCGUGGGGGAUAACGUAGGGAAACUUACGCUAAUACCGCAUACGACCUACGGGUGAAAGCAGGGGGUCUUCGGACCUUGCGCGAUUGAAUGAGCCGAUGUCGGAUUAGCUAGUUGGCGGGGUAAAGGCCCACCAAGGCGACGAUCCGUAGCUGGUCUGAGAGGAUGAUCAGCCACACUGGAACUGAGACACGGUCCAGACUCCUACGGGAGGCAGCAGUGGGGAAUAUUGGACAAUGGGCGCAAGCCUGAUCCAGCCAUACCGCGUGGGUGAAGAAGGCCUUCGGGUUGUAAAGCCCUUUUGUUGGGAAAGAAAAGCAGCAGGUUAAUACCCCGCUGUUCUGACGGUACCCAAAGAAUAAGCACCGGCUAACUUCGUG